UUUUCCAAACUGAAACAGACAAAUUUAUAAGGAGAAGAUUGGGAAGAAACCCUUCUUUUAUGAAUAUCUUGCCCAGCUCUAACCAUGACGCUUGUGCCUUGUGGCAAGAUUUAGUUCUCUUUCAUCUCUGAAUGGUUGGUGUCAAGUCUAGUCUUGAAGAAUUGGGUCAUCAUACUAUAUGCUGAAGCAGCCCUUGAAACAGAGACCUGGUCUACCAGACAGCUGUGUCUGCAGCCAUUCUGAAAAAUGAAUAUAGAUGUCAGUGAAAGUUCCUGAAGCUCUUCUCAUCCUGGUGGCUACAGCGGCUGGCUCAACUCUCUCGCAGCGCAAUACCCCUUAAGUACAGCUACAUGGCUUCUCUCUUCAUGACUGCUCCAUUUCUCUUGGUGGAUGUACGGAUCCUCCUGGCAUACAGGAGUGGAAUUUAUAUCCUUGACAUUGCUCAGACACUUUCUUGACUGAAGGAAAUUAUGCGUGCGUGCGUGUGUGUGUGUGUGUGUGUAGUUCUGCCCUUACUGCAAAUGAGAGUGAAUUGCAAGCUGGGAGAAAUGAGAGCAAUUCACAGAUGUAUUGACUGCAGAGAACAUGUGACUUAAGCCAUUGAAAACAAAUUAAAUGAGAAUCAAAACUGCCACUCCAUGUUUAGUUCAUCCUGCUAUGUCUGUUACACCAGAUACAUAGGGCCAGAGUCAAUGCAAAGGGCUAGAGCAGCUGGAAAUCUGCUUGGAAGGUGGGCAGCUAUAGUGUGAAGAGCAUGCAACCUCCUUGUCACUGGAGGGAUCUGUGGUAUAGGAGGGGUUAUGGUUAGGAUUUCUGGGAGAUGCGUUUGAUUCAGGGCAUCUCAGACCUUCUGCAGUGUGGGGCAAAAGAAAUACUCUUUCAACACAGGUUAGUUAACCCAAUUAUAAACAUCAGUUCGCAUCUAUUGUAGACAGUGUAGAGAGACACUAAAGCUGACAAGCUACCAUGCUUUUAAAUACCACUGCCUUUGUCUACACUAGGUGUAGAGUGGUAUUUAAAAUGUGUUUCGUUAAAUACGUUAACAUGCUUGCAUAUAAAUGGACCCUCCAAAACCAUACUGAGGCAUGUUGAUAGGACUGCGUAGGAAGACAUGUAGUGAGGCUACCUAUACCUGCUUGUAGAUAAGUGGAGGGCUUCUUUCCUCUGGUGGUUUUAAUCCAACACCUUACAUAAAGAGCAAUAGAUUCACAAAGAAGAAACGUGUGUGUAUGUGUGUGAUAUCACAGUAACUUCAAGAGGAGUUUGCUUAAACACAAGCAGUUUUCAAACUACUUUACAAUACAAAGACUUAAAACUAUCCAUGCAUUAUGAACGCAUGUAACAUGAUUUGUUAUGUUAGUAAAAUUUUACUGUCUCGUACAGUUGCCGACAUUAAAGCUGC